GCUCCAGAAUAGCUCUUGGAAACGGGUGGUAAUGCUGGAUGCUCCAACUUGACGCAUGUCUUGUUGGGAAAGUGUUUAGUGGCAUGGGAUGGGGUCGCGUCCUAUCAGCUUGUAGGCGGGGUAAUGGCCCACCUAGGCUUCGACGGGUAGCCGGCCUGAGAGGGCGGACGGCCACAUUGGGACUGAGAUACGGCCCAGACUCCUACGGGAGGCAGCAGGC
rnacentral:rRNA from 1 species